CCUACGGGAGGCUGCAGUGGGGAAUAUUGGACAAUGGGCGAAAGCCUGAUCCAGCCAUGCCGCGUGUGUGAAGAAGGCCUUCGGGUUGUAAAGCACUUUCAGUGGGGAAGAAAGCCUUGGGGCUAAUACCCUCGAGGAAGGACAUCACCCACAGAAGAAGCACCGGCUGACUCCGUGCCAGCAGCCGCGGUAAUACAGAGGGUGCGAGCGUUAAUCGGAAUUACUGGGCGUAAAGCGCGCGUAGGCGGUCUGAUAAGCCGGUUGUGAAAGCCCCGGGCUCAACCUGGGAACGGCAUCCGGAACUGUCAGGCUAGAGUGCAGGAGAGGAAGGUAGAAUUCCCGGUGUAGCGGUGAAAUGCGUAGAGAUCGGGAGGAAUACCAGUGGCGAAGGCGGUCUUCUGGACUGACACUGACGCUGAGGUGCGAAAGCGUGGGUAGCAAACAGGAUUAGAUACCCCGGUAGUC
rnacentral:rRNA from 1 species